GAUGAACGCUAGCGGCAGGCUUAAUACAUGCAAGUCGAGGGGUAGCAAGAUUGUAACAAUACAAUUGUUGACGACCGGCAAACGGGUGCGGAACACGUACACAACCUUCCUACAAGUGGGGAAUAGCCCAGAGAAAUUUGGAUUAAUACCCCGUAACAUAGCGAUGUGGCAUCACAUUGCUAUUAUAGCUUCGGCGCUUGUUGAUGGGUGUGCGGCUGAUUAGAUAGUUGGCGGGGUAACGGCCCACCAAGUCUACGAUCAGUAGCUGGUGUGAGAGCAUGAUCAGCCACACGGGCACUGAGACACGGGCCCGACUCCUACGGGAGGCAGCAGUAAGGAAUAUUGGACAAUGGACGCAAGUCUGAUCCAGCCAUGCCGCGUGAAGGAUUAAGGUCCUCUGGAUUGUAAACUUCUUUUAUAAGGGACGAAAAAAGGUCUUUCUAGAUCGUCUGACGGUACCUUAUGAAUAAGCACCGGCUAACUCCGUGCCAGCAGCCGCAGUAAAAC
rnacentral:rRNA from 1 species